rnacentral:lncRNA from 1 species
UGGGAGGUUUCUUAUGUGUGAUUUAUUUGGUUAUCAUGUUAUUUUUAGGGUUCGGAUUGCAUUUUUCACAUAAAAGAAUAAUUAACCUUCUUUUGUGAUAUCAAUUAUUGAAUUUUGUUUUGCACAACUUUUGAAAUAUUCAUUUUAUGAUCUAUGUUGCAGAUUGAAGAAAAAGAUCAGAAUACUGUAAGUCGUAUAAAAUAUGAUUAAAUGGUUGAUAUCAUAAAAGAAGAUGAAUCAUACAGAAGAUACCUGUUAUCCAAUGGUUACUAGCACA